AUUGAACGCUGGCGGCAUGCCUUACACAUGCAAGUCGAACGGUAACAGGUCUUCGGAUGCUGACGAGUGGCGAACGGGUGAGUAAUACAUCGGAACGUGCCCGAUCGUGGGGGAUAACGAAGCGAAAGCUUUGCUAAUACCGCAUACGAUCUACGGACGAAAGCAGGGGACCGCAAGGCCUUGCGCGAACGGAGCGGCCGAUGGCCGAUUAGGUAGUUGGUGGGAUAAAAGCUUACCAAGCCGACGAUCUGUAGCUGGUCUGAGAGGACGACCAGCCACACUGGGACUGAGACACGGCCCAGACUCCUACGGUAGGCAGCAGUGGGGAAUUUUGGACAAUGGGCAAAAGCCUGAUCCAGCCAUGCCGCGUGCAGGAUGAAGGCCUUCGGGUUGUAAACUGCUUUUGUACGGAACGAAAAGACUCUGGUUAAUACCUGGGGUCCAUGACGGUACCGUAAGAAUAAGCACCGGCUAACUACGUGCCAGCCGCCGCGGUAAAAC
rnacentral:rRNA from 1 species